UCAAGUAAUUAAGUGCAUGUGGUGGAUGCCUUGGCAGUCAGAGGCGAUGAAAGACGUAAUAGCCUGCGAUAAGCUCCGGGGAGGCGGCAAAUAUCCUGUGAUCCGGAGAUUUCUGAAUGGGGAAACCCACCUGUCAUAAGGCAGGUAUCGUAUGAUGAAUACAUAGUCAUACGAGGCGAACGAGGGGAAGUGAAACAUCUCAGUACCCUUAGGAAAAGAAAUCAAUUGAGAUUCCCUCAGUAGCGGCGAGCGAACGGGGAAAAGCCCAUUAAGUCAUAUAAGUUCUAGUGGAAUGCUCUGGGAAGUGCAACCAUAGUGGGUGAUAGUCCUGUACACGAAAGGGCUUAUAUGAUGAUGUCGAGUAGGGCGGGGCACGUGAAACCUUGUCUGAAUAUGGGGGGACCAUCCUCCAAGGCUAAAUACUCCUGACUGACCGAUAGUGAACCAGUACCGUGAGGGAAAGGCGAAAAGAACCCCUGUGAGGGGAGUGAAAUAGAUCCUGAAACCGCAUGCAUACAAGCAGUGGGAGCCGACUUGUUCGGUGACUGCGUACCUUUUGUAUAAUGGGUCAGCGACUUACAUUCAGUAGCGAGGUUAACCGAAUAGGGGAGCCGUAGAGAAAUCGAGUCUUAAUAGGGCGUUUAGUUGCUGGGUAUAGACCCGAAACCCGGUGAUCUAGCCAUGAGCAGGUUGAAGGUUGGGUAACACUAACUGGAGGACCGAACCCACUGUCGUUGAAAAGCCAGGGGAUGACUUGUGGAUAGGGGUGAAAGGCUAAUCAAACUCGGUGAUAGCUGGUUCUCCCCGAAAGCUAUUUAGGUAGCGCCUCGGACGAAUACCAUUGGGGGUAGAGCACUGUUUCGGCUAGGGGGUCAUCCCGACUUACCAAACCGAUGCAAACUCCGAAUACCAAUGAGUACUAUCCGGGAGACAGACUGCGGGUGCUAACGUCCGUAGUCAAGAGGAAAACAAUCCAGACCGCCAGCUAAGGCCCCAAAAUUAUAGUUAAGUGGGAAACGAUGUGGGAAGGCAUAGACAGCUAGGAGGUUGGCUUAGAAGCAGCCACCCUUUAAAGAAAGCGUAAUAGCUCACUAGUCGAGUCGGCCUGCGCGGAAGAUGUAACGGGGCUAAAACUAUGUGCCGAAGCUGCGGAUGUAUACUUUGUAUACGUGGUAGGGGAGCGUUCUGUAAGCCGAUGAAGGUGUGUUGAGAAGCAUGCUGGAGGUAUCAGAAGUGCGAAUGCUGACGUGAGUAACGACAAAACGGGUGAAAAACCCGUUCGCCGAAAGACCAAGGGUUCCAGUCCAACGUUAAUCGGGGCUGGGUGAGUCGACCCCUAAGGCGAGGCCGAAAGGCGUAGUCGAUGGGAAAAUGGUUAAUAUUCCAUUACUUCUGUGUAAUGCGAUGAGAGGACGGAGAAGGCUAAAUCAGCCUGGCGUUGGUUGUCCAGGUGAAAGGAUGUAGGCAUGUAUCUUAGGCAAAUCCGGGGUACUCUAUGCUGAGAUCUGAUAGCAAGCUGUACUUGUACAGCGAAGUGGUUGAUGCCAUGCUUCCAGGAAAAGUCUCUAAGCUUCAGUUACACAGGAAUCGUACCCGAAACCGACACAGGUGGUCAGGUCGAGUAGACCAAGGCGCUUGAGAGAACUCUGCUGAAGGAACUAGGCAAAAUGGUACCGUAACUUCGGGAGAAGGUACGCUGUUGUUGGUGAUGGAACUCGCUUCCUGAGCUGACGACAGCCGCAGAAACCAGGCCGCUGCAACUGUUUAUUAAAAACACAGCACUGUGCAAACACGAAAGUGGACGUAUACGGUGUGACGCCUGCCCGGUGCUGGAAGGUUAAUUGAUGGGGUUAGCGGUAACGCGAAGCUCUUGAUCGAAGCCCCGGUAAACGGCGGCCGUAACUAUAACGGUCCUAAGGUAGCGAAAUUCCUUGUCGGGUAAGUUCCGACCUGCACGA
rnacentral:rRNA from 1 species